rnacentral:rRNA from 1 species
UGGGUAACCUGCCUCAAAGAGGGGAAUAGCCUCCCGAAAGGGAGAUUAAUACCGCAUAAUAUGUUUAAGUCGCAUGACUUUAACAUCAAAGGAUUUUUCUUUUAGAAAUUCCACUUUGAGAUGGACCCGCGGCGCAUUAGCUAGUUGGUGAGGUAACGGCUCACCAAGGCAACGAUGCGUAGCCGACCUGAGAGGGUGAUCGGUCACAUUGGAACUGAGACACGGUCCAGACUCCGUAGGGAGG